GAGCAGCUUAGCAAGUCCCUCUUGCCCCUGGGUCCAGGGAAGGAAGCUUAGUGCUGCCCAUCAGGAAUCGGCUCCGAGGUGCAGCUGGGGUGUGACCCACACGCUCUGCGUGGUCAUUGGGGGGGCAGUUAGGAGCAAACCCCGCCUAGGGCAGAAGGGCAGGUAGUGAGAGGCAGGAGGUGUAGGUAGAGAAUGUUUAUUGUAUAAAAUAAGAAGGGGCCGCCCCGCUGAGGGGCGCAAUGGACAGAACUCCCCCCCACCCUCCCCACACCUGCCCCUUCAGCCCCGAGGGAGACCAUGCUCCCUCCCGGCCUCUGGUGGGGGCCAGGGAAGGCUGGAGCCACACCCCAGAAAGAGGCGGCAGAGAGAACAGGACCCUGCCGCCCAGCCUCGUCCCCAUGCUUCCCGCUGCCCACCCCCACUGCUCCCCACUGCCAACUCAGGGACACCACACGUCUCAACACAACAGCAGACACGUCUAGGGCUGCUCCCCUGCCAGCCCUCAGGCUCU